GAUGAACGCUGGCGGCGUGCCUAACACAUGCAAGUCGAGCGAUUUACUUCGGUAAAGAGCGGCGGACGGGUGAGUAACGCGUGGGUAACCUGCCCUGUACACACGGAUAACAUACCGAAAGGUAUGCUAAUACGAGAUAAUAUACUUUUAUCUCAUGGUAGAAGUAUCAAAGCUCUGGCGGUACAGGAUGGACCCGCGUCUGAUUAGCUAGUUGGUAAGGUAACGGCUUACCAAGGCGACGAUCAGUAGCCGACCUGAGAGGGUGAUCGGCCACAUUGGAACUGAGACACGGUCCAAACUCCUACGGGAGGCAGCAGUGGGGAAUAUUGCACAAUGGGCGAAAGCCUGAUGCAGCAACGCCGCGUGAGCGAUGAAGGCCUUCGGGUCGUAAAGCUCUGUCCUCAAGGAAGAUAAUGACGGUACUUGAGGAGGAAGCCCGGCUAACUACGUG
rnacentral:rRNA from 1 species